rnacentral:rRNA from 1 species
UACGUAGGGCGCGAGCGUUGUCCGGAAUUAUUGGGCGUAAAGAGCUCGUAGGCGGCUUGUCACGUCGGGUGUGAAAGCUCGGGGCUUAACCCCGGGUCUGCAUUCGAUACGGGCUGGCUGGAGUGUGGUAGGGGAGAUCGGAAUUCCUGGUGUAGCGGUGAAAUGCGCAGAUAUCAGGAGGAACACCGGUGGCGAAGGCGGAUCUCUGGGCCAUUACUGACGCUGAGGAGCGAAAGCGUGGGGAGCGAACAGG